GACGAACGCUGGCGGCGUGCUUAACACAUGCAAGUCGAACGGAAAGGCCCUGCUUUUGUGGGGUGCUCGAGUGGCGAACGGGUGAGUAACACGUGAGUAACCUGCCCUUGACUUUGGGAUAACUUCAGGAAACUGGGGCUAAUACCGGAUAGGAGCUCCUGCUGCAUGGUGGGGGUUGGAAAGUUUCGGCGGUUGGGGAUGGACUCGCGGCUUAUCAGCUUGUUGGUGGGGUAGUGGCUUACCAAGGCUUUGACGGGUAGCCGGCCUGAGAGGGUGACCGGCCACAUUGGGACUGAGAUACGGCCCAGACUCCUACGGGAGGCAGCAGUGGGGAAUAUUGCACAAUGGGCGGAAGCCUGAUGCAGCAACGCCGCGUGCGGGAUGACGGCCGUCGGGUUGUAAACCGCUUUCGCCUGUGACAAAGCGUGAGUGACGGUAAUGGGUAAAGAAGCACCGGCUAACUACGUG
rnacentral:rRNA from 1 species